AAACGUCCUCGUAAGUUGGUGUCU
rnacentral:siRNA from 1 species